GGCUCGCGGCUGGACCGCAUCUACCUGCCAGGAGUAGCCGGGCCCCUUCAUCGCCCCUGGGCUUCAAUACAUGUGGCUUCUCUCUCGGAUCACCGUCUGGCGUCCCUCCGCCUUGCCCCCGGCACCAGCCACCACAGCAGAAGAUACCCCGCCGCCUCCGCCUCCACUUCCUCGCACACCCUGACCUCAAGCGGAUGAUGGGCAACUGGCUGAAUGAGCAAGUGGCGAACGCACCGUCAGGAGAGGCACAACCACCCCAACCUAUGCUAAACUACUGGCCAGAGUUCAAGCGCCGACUCACAGCUCAGGUGGCCUGCCUCAACCGGGUAGCUGUGACCCACCGCACCCG
rnacentral:lncRNA from 1 species